rnacentral:rRNA from 1 species
AACGAACGCUGGCGGCAUGCCUAACACAUGCAAGUCGAACGAGACCUUCGGGUCUAGUGGCGCACGGGUGCGUAACGCGUGGGAACCUGCCCUUAGGUUCGGAAUAACUCCCCGAAAGGGGUGCUAAUACCGGAUAAUGUCUUCGGACCAAAGAUUUAUCGCCUUUGGAUGGGCCCGCGUUGGAUUAGCUAGUUGGUAGGGUAAAAGCCUACCAAGGCGACGAUCCAUAGCUGGUCUGAGAGGAUGAUCAGCCACACUGGGACUGCGACCCGGCCCAGACUCCUACGGGAGGCAGCAGUGGGGAAUAUUGGACGCUGGGCGAAAGCCUGAUCCAGCAAUGCCGCGUGAGUGAUGAAGGCCUUAGGGUUGUAAAGCUCUUUUACCCGGGAUGAUAAUGACAGUACCGGGAGAAUAAGCACCGGCUAACUCCGUG